rnacentral:rRNA from 1 species
UACGGGGGGGGCAAGCGUUGUUCGGAAUUACUGGGCGUAAAGGGUUCGUAGGUGGCCAACUAAGUCAUACGUGAAAUCCCUCAGCUUAACUGGGGAACUGCGUCUGAUACUGGUUGGCUUGAGUGCAGGAGAGGAACGCGGAAUUCCAGGUGUAGCGGUGAAAUGCGUAGAUAUCUGGAGGAACACCGGUGGCGAAGGCGGCGUUCUGGACUGCAACUGACGCUGAGGCGCGAAAGCGUGGGGAGCAAACAGG